UGUUUCGGCUAGGGGGCCAUCCCGGCUUACCAACCCGAUGCAAACUGCGAAUACCGGAGAAUGUUAUCACGGGAGACACACGGCGGGUGCUAACGUCCGUCGUGAAGAGGGAAACAACCCAGACCGCCAGCUAAGGUCCCAAAGUCAUGGUUAAGUGGGAAACGAUGUGGGAAGGCCCAGACAGCCAGGAUGUUGGCUUAGAAGCAGCCAUCAUUUAAAGAAAGCGUAAUAGCUCACUGGUCGAGUCGGCCUGCGCGGAAGAUGUAACGGGGCUAAACCAUGCACCGAAGCUGCGGCAGCGACACUUUAGUGUUGUUGGGUAGGGGAGCGUUCUGUAAGCCGUUGAAGGUGUCCUGUGAGGGGUGCUGGAGGUAUCAGAAGUGCGAAUGCUGACAUAAGUAACGAUAAAGCGGGUGAAAAGCCCGCUCGCCGGAAGACCAAGGGUUCCUGUCCAACGUUAAUCGGGGCAGGGUGAGUCGACCCCUAAGGCGAGGCCGAAAGGCGUAGUCGAUGGGAAACGGGUUAAUAUUCCCGUACUUGGUGUUACUGCGAAGGGGGGACGGAGAAGGCUAUGUUGGCCGGGCGACGGUAGUCCCGGUUUAAGCGUGUAGGUGUGUGUUCCAGGUAAAUCCGGUUCACUUUAACACUGAGGCGUGAUGACGAGGCACCACGGUGCUGAAGCAACAAAUGCCCUGCUUCCAGGAAAAGCCUCUAAGCAUCAGGUAACAUCAAAUCGUACCCCAAACCGACACAGGUGGUCAGGUAGAGAAUACCAAGGCGCUUGAGAGAACUCGGGUGAAGGAACUAGGCAAAAUGGUGCCGUAACUUCGGGAGAAGGCACGCUGACACGUAGGUGAAGUGAUUUACUCAUGGAGCUGAAGUCAGUCGAAGAUACCAGCUGGCUGCAACUGUUUAUUAAAAACACAGCACUGUGCAAACACGAAAGUGGACGUAUACGGUGUGACGCCUGCCCGGUGCCGGAAGGUUAAUUGAUGGGGUCAGCGCAAGCGAAGCUCCUGAUCGAAGCCCCGGUAAACGGCGGCCGUAACUAUAACGGUCCUAAGGUAGCGAAAUUCCUUGUCGGGUAAGUUCCGACCUGCACGAAUGGCGUAAUGAUGGCCAGGCUGUCUCCACCCGAGACUCAGUGAAAUUGAACUCGCUGUGAAGAUGCAGUGUACCCGCGGCAAGACGGAAAGACCCCGUGAACCUUUACUAUAGCUUGACACUGAACAUUGAGCCUUGAUGUGUAGGAUAGGUGGGAGGCUUUGAAGCGUGGACGCCAGUCUGCGUGGAGCCGACCUUGAAAUACCACCCUUUAAUGUUUGAUGUUCUAACGUGGACCCGUAAUCCGGGUUGCGGACAGUGUCUGGUGGGUAGUUUGACUGGGGCGGUCUCCUCCUAAAGAGUAACGGAGGAGCACGAAGGUUGGCUAAUCCUGGUCGGACAUCAGGAGGUUAGUGCAAUGGCAUAAGCCAGCUUGACUGCGAGCGUGACGGCGCGAGCAGGUGCGAAAGCAGGUCAUAGUGAUCCGGUGGUUCUGAAUGGAAGGGCCAUCGCUCAACGGAUAAAAGGUACUCCGGGGAUAACAGGCUGAUACCGCCCAAGAGUUCAUAUCGACGGCGGUGUUUGGCACCUCGAUGUCGGCUCAUCACAUCCUGGGGCUGAAGUAGGUCCCAAGGGUAUGGCUGUUCGCCAUUUAAAGUGGUACGCGAGCUGGGUUUAGAACGUCGUGAGACAGUUCGGUCC
rnacentral:rRNA from 2 species